AUCCAGCUGACGAGUCCCAAAUAGGAUGAAACACGUGUCCUGAGU
rnacentral:hammerhead_ribozyme from 1 species